AGUGAUCUUCGUUUGAAGCGGUAUCCUUUUUCUUGUUAUUCGAACGAAGAAAGAAAACAAGAAAAAGAUAUAGCGAAAAGCAGGUCAAAAG
rnacentral:sRNA from 1 species